AAAUGUCUGUAUAUAUUAAUGCGUGUCAUGUAUGCACUCAUUACCCCAUGAUUCUAAGAUUGCAAUCAAAGAUGUUUUAAGACAAAGUUACCAUACUGAAAAAAAGGACAAUUAUUUAAUGCACUAAUGCGGAUACAUUCGGUCCAAUAAAAACAAACAUAAUAUGUAGUUACAGUAAAAUUUCUUACUCCUUUUUAGCUUUUUGUAUUUCUCCAACACUCCCAGUAAAAGAAAUAAACUUCAGAGCCACCCUGCCCAGUAAUGCAUGAUAACAAACUUUAACUUCACCAAAACCUCCUUUUCCAAGCAACUCAUAGUCGUCAGGGUUGCUUGGAAAUUCACUUGGGUCAAAUUUCUUCAGCUCCAUAUUUUAGUUAGGUAUCAUAUUUCUUACACAGUUAACCCUAAAUUUGAUCACUAACAAAAGAGAGCAAUGCUCCGGUUAAUGAGUACAUUUGUUGCAACCAAAGUCCAUAGAAAUCACUUCUAUGGAGUUUGGUUGCAACUAGACGCUUAAAGUGACAUCACAUUACCCACAAUACUUAGUUAAUCAAUGUCAACACUGCGGAUACGACUUAUCUCAUGGGAGACUAUUCUAAUGAAAACAAACCCCCCGUUGAACGUGGUUAAUGAUAUCCCACUCAGCCGCUGACAGGCCCAAAUCGCUUUCAAUUUAUCGCAUGACGUCCCAUUGCUGUCACGUGAUUCUGUCUGGUAAAUAACUUGCCUUUUCCCUAACAUAAUAACAAGAACUACCCAACUAACGCCACUGAGACCUCGAAGUCAGUCUAGGUUCAUGGCGGGCUCUUAGGAGCCCUUGCCCGGCCGUUAAGUAAGCUUUUGCCCGAUACUAUAUUGUGUACUUGUGUACCAGAAAAAGGAAUAAAAUAUAGCAAGAUAUCAUGAA